UUUUCAAAUCAAUUUGUUAUCUUAACGUAAUAUAUCAUGACUUUGGGAUUAUCUCCUUCACUUUUCGAUUUGAAUCUAAUCAAGUUCUUACUAGUACACAUGUUUUGCUAAAAACCAUAGGUUAACACAAAAAAAAUCAAAAUCAAAAUCAAAAUCAAAAUCAAAAUCAAAAUCAAAAUCAAAAUAAAAAAAUCAAAAAAAGCAUUGAAAUCCUAGUAGAAAGAUAUUACUUUAUUUAAAAGGUACUUAAUUGUAGAACGAUCAUAAUUCCAAAAGUCACAACUAUUAAACAACACUUAUUUAAAUCAAAUUACUUUAAGAAAAAAAAUUAAUUUUGUAGAUUAUAUAAGGGCCAAGCCUUAAUCAUCAUUUUCAUUAGACAUAAAAAUAAAAAGUUUCUAAAUUUGAAGAAAAUCCAUGGCUUCCAAAUGUCUUAGGAAACUUACACUAGUGAUGAUGGAGUUUUUUAUCCUUAUUCUCCUAAAAGUUCAGGCUAUUGACCUUUCCCCUACCUCUUUUUCUUCCUCUGGACUGCCCAUCUUAUAUUCUCACUCCUCUGAACUUGAUGAAGUUAAAGCAACAAUACAUACAUGCUUUGUAAAAGGGAUUAAAGUUUGUGAAAAAAUAUGGCCACUUCACAUGUUGUCUAGACAUCAGUCGUUGGGUUUUGAAGUUUGUCUACUUUCAGUUCAUGCAGCAUGCUGGGUGGAACAACAUCUCAGAGAGGGGAUAAGUAACGAGCAUUUCACAUGCAUAUUUAGAUGCAUAACACAUCGAAGCGAUAUUGGGUCCUGUUUCACAAAAUGUUAUGAAAAACAUGUCGAGAACCACGAAGAUAUCAUUUAUAAGCAGAAUCCAUAGCGUAAGAUUUAUAUGGAGGCUUCUCAGGAAAUGUGCGAGAGCAAGACUUGCCAGAUAGUAGUUCCUAGUUGUACCUCGUUUCAAAUAAUAUUGUUUUGGGUUGUAAAAUAAUGUUAAUUCGGGAUGUUGUAGUCCUCGAUCUAAUACUGUUGUAUUUUUAGUUUUUAAGUUGGUCUAUUUUGGACCCAAAACUAUGCCAUUUGGGAGUUGAAUUUUACAUGGGAUUUGUUGA